rnacentral:rRNA from 1 species
AACCUGGUUGAUCCUGCCAGUAGUCAUAUGCUUGUCUCAAAGAUUAAGCCAUGCAUGUCUAAGUAUAAGCAAUUAUACCGUGAAACUGCGAAUGGCUCAUUAAAUCAGUUAUCGUUUAUUUGAUAAUACCUUACUACUUGGAUAACCGUGGUAAUUCUAGAGCUAAUACAUGCUGAAAAUCCCGACUUCGGAAGGGAUGUGUUUAUUAGAUAAAAAACCAAUGCCCUUCGGGGCUCUUUGGUGAUUCAUGAUAACUUUACGGAUCGCAUAGCCUUGCGCUGGCGACGGUUCAUUCAAAUUUCUGCCCUAUCAACUUUCGAUGGUAAGGUAUUGGCUUACCAUGGUUUCAACGGGUAACGGGGAAUUAGGGUUCGAUUCCGGAGAGGGAGCCUGAGAAACGGCUACCACAUCCAAGGAAGGCAGCAGGCGCGCAAAUUAUCCAAUCCCGACACGGGGAGAUAGUGACAAUAAAUACUGAUACAGGGCUCUUUUGGGUCUUGUAAUUGGAAUGAGUACAAUUUAAACCUCUUAACGAGGAACAAUUGGAGGGCAAGUCUGGUGCCAGCAGCCGCGGUAAUUCCAGCUCCAAUAGCGUAUAUUAAAGUUGUUGCAGUUAAAAAGCUCGUAGUUGAAACUUGGGCCUGGCUGGCGGGUCCGCCUCACCGCGUGCACUCGUCCGGCCGGGCCUUCCUUCUGAAGAACCUCAUGCCCUUCACUGGGGCGUGUUGGGGAAUCAGGACUUUUACUUUGAAAAAAUUAGAGUGUUCAAAGCAGGCCUUUGCUCGAAUACGUUAGCAUGGAAUAAUAAAAAUAGGGCGUGCGUUUUCUAUUUUGUUGGUUUCUAGAGACGCCGCAAUGAUUAACAGGAACAGUCGGGGGCAUCAGUAUUCCGUUGUCAGAGGUGAAAUUCUUGGAUUUACGGAAGACUAACUACUGCGAAAGCAUUUGCCAAGGAUGUUUUCAUUAAUCAGUGAACGAAAGUUAGGGGAUCGAAGACGAUCAGAUACCGUCGUAGUCUUAACCGUAAACUAUGCCGACUAGGGAUCGGGCGAUGUUCUUUUUCUGACUCGCUCGGCACCUUACGAGAAAUCAAAGUUUUUGGGUUCUGGGGGGAUUAUGGUCGCAAGGCUGAAACUUAAAGAAAUUGACGGAAGGUCACCAUCCAGGCGUGGAGCCUGCGGCUUAAUUUGACUCAAUCACCGGG